GCUGAUAUUUUAGAAUUAGUGGGAGAGAGAGAUAAAGUUAGGGUUAGAAGAAAAUUCAGGGUAAAGCACUUCUCCACUCCCUUCCUUGGCAUAACUCUUCAACCUCCUCCAUACCCACCAAGCUCGUCCAUACCCACCAAAUAGAAUUCCACAACAUUGUAAAUUGGAGAAAGAAACCGUCUUUUGGCGCUGGUUUUUGGGAUUUUUGGCUCCAAAUGAAUGUCAGGAUAACCACUAUAUAUAUAUAUGAGAAAAAUGACUGGAAAAAAUACAUUGCAAAGUGAAGCAAAAUUUCUGAACAGUAUUUUUGGUAGAAUUCUACAAAUCAAUGGCAUCAGGCGGACGUGUCUCUAGACAAACCACAAUUACAGGUGCUUCUACUCAAGCAAGCCGAUUAUCUGAUCCAUCAAAUAGUAAUAAUCCUACUCCUAAUACAGAUGAUUCAACUAGAAUCAGGAAAGGUCGUUGAAGGACAAUGGGAAAAGGUCUUGAGAAAAUGAAGAAGUCUAUAGGGAGAAAGAUGGUUAUAGACAUUCCAGUUGGUAAAGGAAGGCCAGUUAAGGCAAUUCCAUCAGCAAAGCUAUCAAAUGAGUUAGGAAUUAUUGCUCGCAACUUUCUUUCACUUCCAAACAAGUGGAAGGAACUCACAAGAGAUGAUAAGGAUGCAGCAUUAAUUAGAUGCCAUGAGAAGUUUGAAAUUAACUUGGACGAGCAUUACACCAAAGAUAGUUGUGAGGAUAUUCUGAAAAAUAGAAGCCGACAAUGACGCUACAAAUUAAAAAAGCUAUUUGAAAGUGCAAGCUCCGAGGAAGAGGCUCGUAAA